rnacentral:rRNA from 1 species
UACUUGGUAGUUUAAAUUUCUAGGUAGAAUUAUGAUGAUGACAUUAUCUAUCUAUUAGUCUUGACCAAAUUACGUGCCAGCAGUCGCGGUAAUACGUAGAAGACAAGUGUUAUUCAUCUUUAUUAGGUUUAAAGGGUACCAAGACGGUUAAUAAAGCCCAAAAGAAAUGAAUACGGGGGACACAUUAACUAGAGUUAUAUGAAAGGAAGCUCUAAGGUACUGUUGAGUGGAGAGAUGAAAUUUUUUGAUACCAGAUUAAUGGCACAGAUUUAUGCGAAGGCAUCUUCUUAUGUAAUAACUGACGUUGUAGGACGAAGGCUUAGGAAGUGAACAGGAUUAGGUACCCCAGUAAUCUAGGCAGAAAAUGAUGAAUGUCAUAGGUUCAAGAGACUGGUUAAUUUAAUUAAAAAAUAUUGGGAUAAAUUAAAUUAAUCAGCAUAUUGUGUCUAUAAAUGAAAGUGUAAGCAUUCCACCUCAAGAGUAAUUUGGCAACAUUGGAACUGAAAUCAUUAGACCGUUUCUGAAACCAGUAGUGAAGUAUGUUGUUUAAUUAGAUGAUACACAAAAACCUUACCACAAUUUGAAUAUAUAUAAAAUAUAUUUACAAGCGCUGCACGGCUGUCUACAGUUAAUGUCGUGAGACUUUGGUUAACUCCAUUAAAUUGACGAAAACCCUAAUUUUAUUUAUAAA